GGUGGCUCAGUGGUAGAGUGCUUGCCUUGCAUGCAUGAGGCCCUGGGUUCCAAUCCUCAGCACCA
rnacentral:tRNA from 1 species